ensembl:lncRNA
CAAAUAAAUAACCUUUGAUAAUAACCUCUCUCUUUUUCUCGAGGCCUACUUCUCUUCUUUCGCUUUCUUUCAUCUUCCCUUUCUCCCUAUCUAUUUCAUUCUCUCUUUUCAUUCUCUUCAUCCUCCUCUCUCUCUUUCAUUAUCUCUUCCCUCUCUCUCUCCCUCCUCUACCCAGCCUCAACAUUUAUCCCACAGUCACUCCUCAUCAGAAUGCACCGGUUGCUGUUGAACUCCUGUACUCCCACACUACAGCUGCCGCUGUGCCGCCACAAUCCUUCAGAGGCUAUUUGGGGUUGAAAUUAAAGUUAUUUUCCUCAAAUUGAACCUUUUAACAAGACACCCUCUUCCCUCCUCCUCCUCCGUUCCAAACAGCCCCAUAACAAGCUGGUGAAUUGUUGCCCUUCUUUAGCUCACUCUAAGGGUAUUAGGCACCAUGUCCAACUUCAAAGCCUCUCUUAACUCCACACUUUAAUUGUCUGCUCUCCCGGCUCUCUCACAGCAUGCCAUCUGAUUCUGCUAACAACUGCACUUCUCCUUCUCCUCCUUUCGUUCCAUCUCUUUUUCCCCUCUUCCCCUCCUCUCCAUAUCUUCUUCUCUUCCUCUGUCCCCCUGUUGUCCAAUCCUUCCAUAUCGUCUUCUCUUCCUCUGUUGCCCUGUUGUCCAAUCCUUCCAUAUCUUCUUCCCUUCCUCUGUCCCCCUGUUGUCCAAUCCUUCCAUAUCUUCUUCCCUUCCUCUGUCCCUCUGUUGUCCAAUCCUUCCAUAUCUUCUUCCCUUCCUCUGUCCCUCUGUUGUCCAAUCCUUCCAUAUCUUCUUCCCUUCCUCUGCCCCCCUGUUGUCCAAUCCUUCCAUAUCUUCUUCCCUUCCUCUGCCCCUCUGUUGUCCAAUCCUUCCAUAUCUUCUUCCCUUCCUCUGUCCCUCUGUUGUCCAAUCCUUCCAUAUCUUCUUCCCUUCCUCUGUCCCUCUGUUGUCCAAUCCUUCCAUAUCUUCUUCCCUUCCUCUGUCCCUCUGUUGUCCAAUCCUUCCAUAUCUUCAUCUCUUCCUCUGUCCCUCUGUUGUCCAAUCCUUCCAUAUCUUCUCUUCCUCUGCCCCCCUGUUGCUGUUGUCCGUUCCUUCCAUCUCUCUUCCUCUCCUCUCACCCCCUGUCAUCCUCUCUUUCGUUCCCCAUCUCCUCUCCUCUCACCCCCUG